rnacentral:tRNA from 1 species
GUAAGAUUAGUUUAAAUAAAAUAGUAGAUUGUGGUUUUACAGAUAAUUAUAUA